GUUUGAGGCAGUGGAAAUAUUCAAUGAUGCACGGAAAUGAGGAUGGGAUGUGCAAGCAUAUGAAGUCAUUAUUGUUCAGACAGAUAUCCCCAUCUGAUAUUAUGACAUGGUAAUGUUGAAGUAUCUCAUGUAAUACCAUAUAGACACUCAAUACUGUUGUACUGCCAAAGCUCUGUAGUGGAAAUCACUGCAUGGGCUCAAAAUCCCCUCUAAAUCCAACUGUCUUGGACGACAGUUUGCAAACGCAGGUUGAAACGGAACCAUGCAUCAGGAUGGGGGUGGGGAUAAAGUUGGUAUUCUGGCAAAAUUCUUCUUGGUAGUGUUGUGUUGUUCGCAAACGAUUUGUUCAAAAGAACCAAAUCUUUCAAGUGACCCUACCGAACUGAAUAUCUUCCUCAAGUGAUUCGUUUUUUUCUCACUUCAGUUGCUAUAGCACGCAGCAAAGUCAGGUGAGCAGCCAGCAGACGAGGGACCGCAUUUAGAAUUCUUCUAAAAUUUCAGUGAACGCAGGCCCGGCGGCAUGGGUGGGCACUGGGGGGCUGUGCCCACCCACGGAGUCAGCUGUGCCUGCCCUUGUUUAUUUGAUUCAGGGUCUGUUUUUUUUCCGUCAGAGUAGUCUUCUUCAGUCAAUCCCAUAUAUCUUGACAUGUCAUCAAUCCAACCAAUCCAAUCGAUCGAAGGCAAUGUGUUAGCUAAUUACAGGUAAAGGGGGGCAGGCCACUUACCAAGUCAAAGGUCAAAUAUUCAUAGAUGGACUUGGCGCGGCAGAAGGCGGACUCAGUGGUAAGCACCGGCUUUCUAUUAAAAAUGGAUAUAAAAGGUUUUUUUGUUGGCCAAAAAAGAACGACGACCACUGACAGGAGCUAGCAGAAAGCGGUGGCAGCACUACAAAGCUCUAAUUUUAGGAAGCUAAGCACUGAAGCUAACAGUCACACCAAUCACUUCUUUGUGCAAAGCAUGACAUGCACAAACAAUAUGAGCAAGAGGCAGCUAAUGCGACGUUGGGAGCAUUAGCUUUUUGGAGCUAAAGUUAGCAGAAACGUCACUAACGUUGUCACGUAGCACGUAGGUUUGAAGUGUUGGACAACAGUGCUGCAACUCUCUUACGGCAUAACCUGCAGAUUGGUGUCAGGUUGACCUGCUCUGUCUGUUUUGUGAAGCUGUAAAACGUCCGUACUGCCGACGAAACCUUUUUAAUAGGAGGAUACAGCCGAGGCGUUUCGUCAUUCUCAGUCUCCGACUGCUCUUGGUCCAGCUGCAUCGUUACGUUGGCUGGAAGUUUGAACGUGUGUCAAACUUCAAACUGUUUCUGGUUCACAGAGGGGACACCCUCCAACAGUGCUUUGUGUGGCCGCAAUGCAUUGUGGGUGGCCACGCAUUUCUUGUAAAAUUUCUUCAUUUUCUCUUUUAAUGUUCCCGUUUUUGUUAGGCUGGCAUUAAUGUACUCAAUCCGAGAGUUUGUUUUGGAUUUGGGACGACUUUUGUGGUGGUUUGUUUGUACAUUUUGCCACCGAGGCUUUGACACCGUGGGUAAGACUACAAGCGGGUUAGGUUGGUAAGCAGUCGGCUUCGCUCGCCUCCAUUGAGUGACGCUGACACUCGUCUUUAAAUUAUAAUUGUGGGACGAUUAUUACAGUACCUUACGAUUUCAUCACUGCAGCCGUUUAAUAUCGCAUAUCGCGAUUAAUUUGUAUAUCGGCACAUCCCUAAUCACCGCACCAGUUUUUAACAGUCCAGUAGAGGGAAUUUCCUUGCACACACCUGACCACCUGUGACUAAGCAUUUUCUGACCCUCCUUUAAAAGUGAUGCAGAAGGGACCCGAGGUGGUCCACAAAUUCCUUCUUCUUCUUCUUCUUCUUAUUAUUAUUAUUAUUAUUACGAUUAUUGUUGUUAUUAUUAUUAUUAUUAUUAUUAUUACUAUUAUUAUUAUUAUUAUUAUUAUUAUUAUUAUUAUUAUUAUUAUUAUUGUUAUUAUUAUUAUUAUUGUUGUAGUUGUUGUUGUUGUUAUUGUUGUUGUUGUUGUUGUUAUUAUUAUUGUUGUUAUUAUUAUUAUUAUUAUUAUUGAUAUUGUUCGUGUAGUAUAAUUUUCUUUUUCUUUUGCUUGUCUGACAAUUGUAAUAUUUAUUUAUUUAUUUAUUUUUUUCAUUAUUAUUCACAUAUAUAAUACACACACACACACACACACACACACACACACACACACAAAACCACAAAUGCCAUUGUUUGUUGUAUGUCUUGUAUUGUCACACUGCACAAAUAAAAAAAAAAAAAAAAAAAGUGAUGCAGAAGACGAGGACUCCUCCUUGAAGCAGAUGACAGUGGCAUUUCUCCCCUGCCUCUUUAAUAAGCCCCAUUUAGCACUCUCAACACUCUCACACACUCAUGAGUAAAUACUUGCACACUCAUAUCACUUCACGAGCACCCUCCCCUCUCUUUUUCCCCCUCCUCCUCCUCUUUCUGUUUGUAUUAUUUUCACAGUUAACACACAUGGCGCCCUCUCCCAUCUUGAGUUCAGCUCAUUUAUGUCCCCUGUGAUGAAUGUGUCACACCGGCGACACUUAAACCGGAACGCACGUUUACACGCACAAACCCCCGCACAUAAACACAAACGGCCUCCGCGCGCUCCAUUCCCCGUGUCCGCUAGCCACAGCGAGAUCUGAUAAAUGGUUUUCGGUGCAGGUGCUUUUUUCAUUAAUACACCCUCACGUAGCUAGCCUCAUAGUACCCUUCAGCUAUCCAGCAUAUUACAAAGAAAAUAGACAGAGGCAGGAAAAGAGUGAAGUCGAGAGAAAAAGUGGAACACAAUCAAAAAAGAAGUCUUUUUCCCACUCCAGGACCCCAGGUGUUUCUGUUUACCGGGACAUUAUUUCAGAUAAAUUUGUCCUUUUACUUCGGAGUUAACACUUUUAUUUUUUCAUUGGGAGUAUUGAUUCGCCGAUAGGGAAUAUCUGUAUUGAGCAGCGUGUCACUUAAAAUGAUGCAUGAAAGGAUCAUAGGUCCCCGGUUCGCCAUAGCACACCACUAUCCAUUUGUGUCGUUCCUCUCGCUAAUAUAAGUAUCGGCGUUUAGAGCGAAACAGCCUCUGCAAUUUGUCAGCUGUUCUUUUGUGUUCAUCGUUUUGUUGUUCAUCACUACGAUGCAGAGGAGGAAGUUGCGCCACCGGAGAGCAGAGGUUAGGAAAUAAAGGUUUUAUUAUCCGACUUAAAUAUGAGGGAUGACGAAGAUAAACAACUUCUGUAAAUUUUGCAUACAGAGCCCCAUCCCCAUCCAUGUUUCCUCUCUCUCUCUGAGUUGAGAGAGCUAACCUCUCCCGCCUGGUGUAUUUUGGGAAACGGCCUUCUUCUUCUUCUUGGGUUGCAUAGACGGAGCCGACAGAAAUUAAUAAUGCGAUCUACCUGGGGCUGCGAGAACCGGAUUUAAGCUAUCGAUCCAGCACCCCAGUGAUUGAUUAAGAGACUAAAUACAAGUUCUUUUCAAUGUACUUCCUGCACAGAGGACUUUCUGUGUAACCUCUAAAAGUCUGGGUUGAGAUCGCGGACUGUUCAUUUGUAAAAAGGAGAAGUCGUCUUUUGGCAUGAGCGGCACGUAGGGUUAAGUAUAAAGUAAGAGCGCAAAGUGACGUUUAUCUCAACAAGCGAAAAUUGUUUUAUUCCAGAGCCGCCUCGCUUCUGAUGUUUGAAUAGAAAACACUCCAGUCUGUUAUAUGAAGUACUUAAGAGUCCAAGGGUGUGCUUUGAUGACAGCCUGUGCUGCUUCAGAUCAGGGGCAGGCGCUUGAUGUGUUAUGCCUUCACGCCCGCGGGGAAUUUGCAGCAAGUAGUUGACAUAUCCCACCGGGUGCAGAUCCUGGGGCUAACCUUGGACUUUUCAUAGAUUACAAUGUCUCUCCGCUGGCCUGAGGACAGGUGAAACUCCCCUGGGAGGAAGAGGGAGAGGGGAGAGGGUACGUGUGGCCUGCUCUUAAGACCUGCUGCCACGGUGACCCUCCCCAAAGGAAGGGAGGGAAAAAAAACGACAACUGUGCCAGAUGUUGAAAUGUGCAGAAAAGGGGGAAUGAAAGCCGCUCCCUGAAGGAUUUCAAAAAUGUUAUCAAAGCCUUUUUGAGGGGGGAAGAAAAUGAGCAGAGGAGCUUAAUAAUUCAGUUCUCAGUGUACAAACAAAGCAGGAUCUAAGACCAUCUCCUUAUAGAUAAUGUAUAUACUGAGGUUUCUGUAGAUGAGCUUCAAUCUCAUGAUGUUUGCUUUACAGCUGCAUCUUUGUAGAGUAACAGUUCCAAGAAAGAGAUUUGGUCCACAGCGAGACACUGGCGUAUGUAAAGCUUUUAAGCUCCCGAACAUCCAUCCUCUGGUGCUUUUUGAUGCCUGUACAUCUUUCUAUCUACAAUUGGACACAAUGUUGCGAAAGAUGACUGUGAUUACAAAUCCUAUUCUAUCUAAGAAGCUUUCUCUCGGGUUCAAGCAUUUUGUGUCAUCCAAAAAAUAAUACACACGAGUUAGCUUUGUAGCGCAAAUAACGCAGUUAAGGGAGCCGCUCUUAGAAAUACAUAAAGCCGGUUCCACUUUUCUGAAAUUGAGGACUAUUCUUGGACCAAACACAAAUUAUAUCUCAUCUUAUGUCAGGGAAUUUAAAGUCAGUUCUGUGAAAACACUCUAGAAAUGUGUUUGUGCUGACGUAUGUGAGUGGAUUAAGAAAAUGUCAAACACUUUGAGAUUUAUAUCUGCGAGGCUGGAUGGUCGCGAACUCAAAAUCACUACACAGAUUCAUGCCGUAGAUUACGCUUUAACAAUUAGUUUGGGUAAAUGUGCUCAUACAUAAUUCACAGGGUCUGCCUAUGAUAAAAUGCCCCCUAAUUCACUCAUUUACUGAUUGUAUUGGUCAAAAAUAAACAGAUAAAUUGAGGCAGGAUGUGAAAUUAUAAUGAAUUGAUGUAAGUCUGCGAAUGCUAUUUACCAAUGCAGCAGGUAAAAUGCAUUUUAAAGACUAUUUUAAUAAACUUUGCUAAUAUUCAGCUUUAUAUUCUUUAUAUUUGGUUUGUAAUAUCUUGAAAUUAGAGUUGCAUCUUGACCAGACCAUUUUACGGCCCGUGGAUGUCCCUGUUCGACCCUUCGUGAGAUCCGUCAAACAAAUUAUCACUAUGCUAUACAUGUGUGGUGCUUUUAUUUUGAAAACCUAGCCGUUGUUUUAUUUCCGUUUGGGCGCACGUGUGUACAUCCUAGAUCUGCAUUUGUAAACAUAGGAAAAAUUUACGUAGACGCCUUAUAGUGGUCAAGUCUGCUUGUUAUAAGAGAUAACUAGUAGUUGCUUAUUUAACCAUGACCUGGAUGAAUGAGACUCUACAUGGACUUAUUUGGGCUUGCUUUUCUGUAUGUGUGAGCCCCCCUGAUUUGAAGUUGAAGUUAUUGUUGGUUCGGCCCUCCAACACAAUUCAGGUUUCUCAUGUGGCCCCAUGUAAAAAUUAACUGUCCACCCCUGAUCUAGACCUUUUAGCUUUACAGGGCUAUGUGUUUUGUGUUAUGUGUUUUGACUUAAAGGCACUAAGAUGAGUUUUUACUGGUCUAGAAACAGUCUGAAACUAGUACGAUUUCAUUUUUUUUUAAAGUAUUUUUUUAUUUUAAGUUUUUUUAAGGAAUUUUUAUUUUCAGUAUUUUUUGCAGCAAUUUUGCCUUUAAUUGAUCGUACAGGGCGAAAUGUGGGGAGAUAGAGAGAGAGGGGGGAGGACAUGCAGCACAUGGUUGGGGCCAAACUCGAACCUGCAACCGCUGCGGGGACCGUGGUCCCCAUACAUGGGGCGCGCUAAUCAACUCAGCCAUCUAUGCGCCCCCUACGAUUCCUUUUCUAUGAUUUUGAAAAGCUAACAAGAAACUAGCAACAAGGAUAAAAAUUCUUUUAUUUUAAUUUUUAAUGCUUAAAAUCAGUGUUAAGGUCCUUACACACUGAGACUGCUGCAAAUACACAACAUGAAAUUACGAAAUAUUUUGAGGUGAAUUUUGACUACACACAUCAAGCGCGAUGCGAUUUUGAGACUUUCCAGAGGGAAAAAAAGAUGCAUCCUGGGUGGAAGCGAGAAGACUGAUACAACAGCAGACUGACUGUUUUUCAGUUCUGAUUAAACACUAGUGUUGAGAUGGCUGUCUGUCAUGGUAGCAUGUACUGAGUCGGGGCCAGUACCAGAUAAGCACAUUAAACUAUAAUCCAUAAACGUAAGGUAACAACCAAGACCUAAUGGUGCUGUGACAGCAACGUGAUUGAGUUUGAGACAGUGAAAAUACAUAUGGUAUGUUGUAGCUGAACAGGUUAGCUUACGAGCUAAAGUUACUUAGCACAGAUGAAAGUUAAAACAAAGACGUUUAGAAAAUUUGACCGUGAUACGAAAAAAUAAAUGCUGCAAUAUCGCAGGACGGGGCAAUGUCACUGAUGUGAACGCUUGUAUUGACAGGAUACAGGUUCGAAAAAAAUGUUGACAUCCGAAAUAAUCGCACGAAAAAAACGCUCCCGGUAUGUAAGGACCUUUAGGGGGUAUGGUGAGACGAGAUGAUUGCACAACACCACCAAAAGCCUCCUCUGCUUGGAGCUCAAGGACAUCCGUCUUGCCGUCGUAGGACAGAGCGAUCUAUUCUGAUUUAUUUCUUUAAUACAGAUUCCUUCAAUUGACGUGUGUAUUCAAAACAGCCACCUCCAUGUGACAAGCUCUCUUAUCAGCACAGCGGAGAAUGGAAGCAUUGUACACCAACCAUGACAAAUGAACUGCACACAGGAGCAUUAUCGGCGCUCUGUCAUAGAACUGAAUGACUGGGUCUAUCAGCAGUCAGUCUGAGGCACUGGGGAAUAUGUUCAUUAUGAGGAAUUUGAAUUUUUAAGAAAGUCGUGAAGGCUGCUGAUGAAAGUUUUAUCAUAAUGGCCUCUAGGUAUAUUAUGCUUCUUUCUUCCAAGAGAAAUUACUUGUAUGGUAAUCACGUCGUCUGUUUUUGAUACAGAAGUCAUUUGCACAAUAGGGCUGACGCUUUUUCUUCCAUUUUUCUCGGUCCGGGCUUUCGAAAUAAAAACGUGCCACAGGAGUCUUUUGAGAGACUGCCACAACCUUCAAACCGGGGGCCGCGUGAUAAAUGAAGUCAACUCUGUCUUCCUUUCGCCGCCUCGUCAUUUCGGAAGAAUUAAUAAAUGAAUGAGUUUGACUCAUGGCCCGAGGAGAGAAGUCUUUACAACAGGUGAAAAACUUGGCAAAGUUUCUCUCUCACAUUGAUUAGUUUAAUUAAGUAUGACCUUUUUUUUCAAGUACCAUACACUUCUUAGCAACACCAGUAUGCCACUGUGGAGAUCAUUCAAAGAGGGAAUUUUAAACCAAAGUUGUUCAGAGAAUAGACUUGUUUGUUUGCUGUUUCUGUAUUUAGGGGGUAAUAUAUGUUUCUUUGGAGGUAAAGAUGGCAGCAUCAUGAGCGCCACAGUUAACACACACUCCCAACCCUGAGAUGUGCAGCCGAGCCCUGUUUUAUAGGAGGACGUAAAUGUGAUAAAACUACCUUUGAAUCCCCUUUUGUUCGCCUUUCCAUCGCAUAGAUGCUGCACGUUCUCCUGCAAAACAACCCGAGGGAGAACUAAAGCAGCAGGAUCUCCUUUUAAGCAUUUUUUUUUCUUUUUUUUUAAGAAUAAAAACAGAUAAACACAAAACAUCCGUGUGAAAUGAUUGCGUUUUAUGCUUGGAGGAAAGCUGCCGGCGACUGCUCAAUAAAACAUUCCUAGAUUCCCCGUGUUAAGUCUUAAAUAUGGCCUCAACCAUGGGCAGACGGCGGGGAUUAAGACCCAGGAAUGUAAUCCACCUUCGGAACAAGCGUUAAAAACUAUGAUGUGAGCUCUGAAUGCAGAAAGAGACAUCAGUCCGCACUGUAAGGAUAGGACGCAUCUGGGCUUGUGUUUUAUGUUUAUGUAAUAUCUAACAUGAUAAAACGCAAAAAGUGGGUCGUGUACAGUACAUCAAAUUUACUGUAACACUGGAUAAGCAUGAGAUCACUCUUAGAAAUCUCAUACACUCUGCAUUUUUAAUAAAACUGGUGCGAAGAAAAUAAAACCUGCAGCAUUCAGUAUAUUAUGCUUUUAUUUUGAAGGUUUCCAACCAUGAUUGCUCAUAACUGCUGUUCGCAUCCACAUUAUAUUGAAUUUAAAGCCUAUACAAUAAGAUUUAAAGGGUAAAUUGUGAUUAAAAUACAAACUUAAUCUGUAUAAACUGCAUUUUUUUUUUACAAUUAAGAACCUCAGCAGAAAAUGCAAUGUCCCUGUACAGACUUAUAACACUAUUUCCAGCCUACAAAAGGUGCAAAAGGUGAAUAAUUAUGCAAAAGCCAUGUUCAAUCAGCCACACGCUGUAAUAGGUUUGUUAUUUGAAUGUACUGUGUUAGUAUGAAUACAGAAAACCAUUUCCAAAGGGCGAGGAUUAGUGUGAUCACCCAGUACUUAUCUCCACACAGCCUGGGUGGUAAAGGAUUUCCUGCAGCAGUUUUUUUUUUUCUAUGAACGAGCCAGCAACCAGGCAGCAGGAGGAGCUUAAAGUUACUGAAUGGGAUAUGGUUCAGCUUAGACAGGAUUUUGUCAGCUUCAUUCACAGACUUUUUUUUUUUUUUGGUCCACAUGAUCAUUACUGUCCUCUUCUCAAGGGCGUAAUAUUGCCACAGUGGCUAAAACUCCAAGGACGUUUGUGAAUUUUCUAAAUUUGUGUGAAAGUGUCAAGAUUAAAUUCCUGAGCAGAUGUGAUGAACUGGAAAUAAAUACCAAUACGUUUAUGACAAAAAAAAAAAAGAAAGGAAAAAUCAGAUGGUCAAGUGUGGAUCUGGUCUGGCAUUUAAGAGUUGUCUGAUAGAUCAAAAGAUUUAAAAGUAGAUUGGAUUACCCUAUAAGGGGAGUCAAUCCUUAAGGGACCCCUUGAAAUGGCUAAAAACACCCUUUUUGGGACAAAUCUUUGGCAAGCCGCCACAACAGUGCCCUUUAAACUUUUAAGCAUAAGCCGAAUCACUUUUCUCCGGUCUGGGGGUCUUCUUGUCUUUUGCCAAAUUUGAAGUGGAUUGGAUUAUCCCCAGAGGAGGAGACAUUCAUUGAAAGACCAAUGAAAAUAGUGAAAAAAGCGUCUUUUUGCAAGCACCUCUUAAAAAUGGAAGGUCGUUUAUUCAUCUGUUUUGUUUGUUUGUUUGUUUGUUUUAUUCUUAUAUUCAAACAGCUCUGCUUAGCCAUUUAGCCUCGCCCACCAAAAACAACAACAACAACAAAAAGAUUUAGCCCCACCCACCAAAAAAAUCCAACAAAUCAUCUUAUUUAGACAAGUUCUUUUACUUAGCCAAGCUUUUAAUUAAUUGGGGUUUUGUUCGUCUCUUUUACUUAUCUUUUGUAUCUGCACUUAUUUUCUGUACUCAUAUGUACUGUAUUUGUACUUGUGUAUGUAUCUGUAAAAUUAAAGUUACAUCUCGGCCUUUUAGCUCUAUGGGGCCUUGUGACAACAUAUGUUCUGACUAAAAGCCACUUUGAGGAGAUUUUACUGGUUUAGAAAUAGUCUGAAACUGAAAUGAUUCCUUUUGGGUUUUUUUUUAGUUGUUUUUUGGGGGGGGGGCGAUUUUGCCUUUUGUUGAUAGUACAGAAAGAAAUGUGGGGAGAUAGAGAGAGAGGGGGGAGGACAUGGAGUACAUGGUUGGGGCCGGACUCGAACCUGCAACCACUAACUUAGCCAUCUGUGCACCCUUAUGGUUCUUUUUUCUAUGAUUUUGAAAAGCAAACAAGAUCUUGGCAACAAGGAUAAUAAUUCUGUUAUUUUCAUUUUUAAUGCCCACCAAAAAAACAUUUUGCCCCGCCCACCAAAAAACCCAACAAAUCAUCUUAUUUAGACAAGCUCUUUUACUUAUCUUUUGUAUCUGCACUUAUUUUCUGUACCCAUCUGUACUGUAUUUGUAUUUGUGUAUACAUCUUUACUUAUCUUUUGUACCGUUUGUUUAUCUGAUUGCACUUAUUUUAUGUAAAGCGCUUUGUGAUUUUUAUCUGUGAAAAGCGCUCUAUAGAUAAACUUUUACUUACUUUUUUGCUUACUUAUUCUCCAUUGUGCUCAAAUUUAAGAUUUUGA